UACGUAGGACGCUAGCGUUGUCCGGAUUUAUUGGGCGUAAAGAGCGUGUAGGCGGCCAGAUAGGUCUGCUGUGAAAACUCGAGGCUCAACCUCGAGCUGUCGGCGGAAACCAUUUGGCUAGAGUCCGGAAGAGGAGAGUGGAAUUCCUGGUGUAGCGGUGAAAUGCGCAGAUAUCAGGAAGAACACCUAUGGCGAAGGCAGCUCUCUGGGACGGUACUGACGCUGAGACGCGAAAGCGUGGGGAGCGAACAGG
rnacentral:rRNA from 1 species